GAUGAACGCUGGCGGCGUGCCUAAUACAUGCAAGUCGAGCGAACAGACGAGGAGCUUGCUCCUCUGACGUUAGCGGCGGACGGGUGAGUAACACGUGGAUAACCUACCUAUCAGACUGGGAUAACUUCGGGAAACCGGCGCUAAUACCGGAUAAUAUCUUGAACCGCAUGGUUCAAUAGUGAAAGACGGUUUUGCUGUCACUUAUAGAUGGAUCCGCGCCGCUUUAGCUAGUUGGUAAGGUAACGGCUUACCAAGGCAACGAUGCGUAGCCGACCUGAGAGGGGGAUCGGCCACACUGGAACUGAGACACGAUACAGACUCCUACGGGAGGCAGCAGUAGGGAAUCUACCGCAAUGGGCGAAAGCCUGAAGGAGCAACGCCGCGUGAGUGAUGAAGGUCUUCGGAUCGUAAAACUCUGUUAUGAGGGAAGAACAAAUGUGUAAGUAACUAUGCACGUCUUGACGGUACCGAAGCAGAAAGCCACGGCUAACUACGU
rnacentral:rRNA from 1 species